rnacentral:rRNA from 1 species
UGGGGAAUAUUGGACAAUGGGGGCAACCCUGAUCCAGCCAUGCCGCGUGAGUGAAGAAGGCCUUAGGGUUGUAAAGCUCUUUCAACGGUGAAGAUGAUGACAGUAGCCGUAGAAGAAGCCCCGGCUAACUCCGUGCCAGCAGCCGCGGUAAUACGGAGGGGGCAAGCGUUGUUCGGAAUUACUGGGCGUAAAGGGCGCGUAGGCGGUCUGUUGCGUCAGGUGUGAAAGCCCGGGGCCCAACCCCGGAAUUGCACUCAAAACUUCCUCGCUAGAGUCUCGGAGGGGAAAGCGGAAUUCCCGGUGUAGAGGUGAAAUUCGUAGAUAUCGGGAGGAACACCAGUGGCGAAGGCGGCUUUCUGGACGAUGACUGACACUGAGACGCGAAAGCGUGGGGAGCAAACAGGAUUAGAUACCCUGGUAGUCCACGCCGUAAACGUUGUGUGCUAGGUGUCGCGGGUAUUGACCCCUGCGGUGCCGUCGUUAACGCAUUUAGCACACCGCCUGGGGAGUACGGCCGCAAGGCUA